CCUGGGAUAUGUAGCGGGUGUCUGUUGUGUCAUGUUACUUCCUUAGUUUUCAGUACAUGGUACAUAUAGAGAUGCGUACAGUAGUUAUAAGAGCCAAUCGUGGUGAGAGAGUAUUAUUUCUUCCUCAUACUAAUAUCUGGUUUACAAUGUGGCGAGAGAUUGUCAAGUUUGUAAGCUUUUCAUCCCACAACCCUUUUCCUUCUCAUAUGGAGUUGCUUUGUUGUACAAAAAUGUUACCUAUUCGUAUGUGGUUGUAUAGAAGGAUAGAAUUAUUAAUUGUCUAGUUAUGAUUUUUAGCAUUUGUUGUGCUUCCUAGGGACAUCGAUCUCUACUCUUCUAUAUAAUCCACAUUGAUCUUUAUUGUUUGAUUGACUGGAAGAAGUUUUGAUGUAGUUUUCUUAAUCAUGCAGGAGUUUACUUUGGAUGACAAAUGUUUGUAGAUCAUCCACCUCCUCAACGAUGCUAACCCGAUCCGAUCAUCGUCGACACUAUCAUCAUCAGGUCCCUGUUCCCUCUAAUCUCUCCUGCCUUGUGAUGUUAGUCUGUGUGCGCUCACUAGUAUUGUUAGAUCCUGUCAGUUGCAUCGAUGGUAGUGGUAGUAGAGUAGUAUUUUUCUUCAGGUGAAUCUGUUACAGCGACGUUCAUUGUACGACCUGCACUUGUACCAAUGUACCAUGCUACUAUUUGGCAAUUCAAUUUCACAUUGCAUUUGGAUCUUAAACUUAUACAGUAUAAGCUUAGUUAUUUGCAUAUGUAAAAUAUGUUAGACAAAGUGUUAAGUUAGAUAACCGCCUCAUGUUGAUGGCAUUGUCUCUAAACAUUUAAUAAUGUUUCUUUUUGGUGAUCUGGAUCAGGAUCUAAUGUUGUUUAGGCUGCUGCUGUUGUGACGGAAGAGCAGAAGAGGCAUGGCGAUGUGCAGCACAAUUUUAGUUGAUGUUGCACCAUGUUUUGGUGCUUGUGUAUUUGUUUUUGCUUGUAACCACACUUGUAUGUGCUUGUCUAUCUGUUUUUGCUUGUUUUAGUUGAUGUUGGACGUGCGGACUUGUAUGUGCUGUUGUGUGUGUUUGGCGGAAUGAUUUCUGAAUUUAAUCAUUUAAUCAAGAGAAUUAUUGAGUGUUUGCUGUUCAAAUGUGUAAGCUGGAAAUCAGUGAAUAAAAAGACCAAAUGUUUUAUUGGACCAAAUAAUAUAUGGGCUCUAAAAAGGCUAUGGCCCAAAUAAUAGUGGAUUGGAACAUUGUUUAGUUCUAGAAAACCUGAACAAAAAGGCUUAUUGAAAUGGUUCGCAAAAGGGCCAUGUUCCAAA
rnacentral:lncRNA from 1 species